rnacentral:rRNA from 1 species
UACGUAGGGUGCGAGCGUUAAUCGGAAUCACUGGGCGUAAAGCGCGCGUAGGCGGUCCGUUAAGUGGGAUGUGAAAUCCCCGGGCUUAACCUGGGAAUUGCAUUUCAAACUGGCGGACUAGAGUGCGGUAGAGGGAGGUAGAAUUUCCUGUGUAGCGGUGAAAUGCGUAGAUAUAGGAAGGAAUACCAGUGGCGAAGGCGGCCUCCUGGAUCGACACUGACGCUGAGGCGCGAAAGCGUGGGGAGCAAACAGG